rnacentral:rRNA from 1 species
CCUACGGGUGGCAGCAGUGGGGAAUAUUGGGCCAUGGGCGCAAGCCUGACCCAGCAACGCCGCGUGAAGGAAGAAGGCUCUCGGGUUGUUAACCUCUUUUGUUCGGGACGCAGCAAGUGACGGUACUUGACGAAUAAGCCUCAGCUAACUACGAGCCAGCAGCCACUGUAAUCCGUAGGUCGCAAGCGGUAUCCGGAUUUAUUGGGUGUAAAGGGCGUUUAGGCGGGAAUGCAAGUCAGAUGUGAAAACUAUGGGCUCAACCCAUAGCCUGCAUUGGACACUGUAGUUCUUGAGUGCUGGAGAGGCAAUCGGAAUUCGGGGUGUAGCGGUGAAAUGCGUAGAUAUACGGAGGAACACCAGUGGCGAAGGCGGAUUGCUGGACAGUAACUGACGCUGAGGCGCGAAAGCGUGGGGAGCGAACAGGAUUAGAUACCCGAGUAGUC